UGGGGAAUCUUGCACAAUGGGCGAAAGCCUGAUGCAGCCAUGCCGCGUGAGUGAAGAAGGCCCUAGGGUUGUAAAGCUCUUUCACCGGUGGAGAUAAUGACGGUAGCCGGAGAAGAAGCCCCGGCUAACUCCGUGCCAGCAGCCGCGGUAAUACGGAGGGUGCGAGCGUUAAUCGGAAUUACUGGGCGUAAAGCGCGCGUAGGUGGUUCUGUAAGUCGGAUGUGAAAGCCCAGGGCUUAACCUUGGAACUGCAUUCGAUACUGCAGAACUAGAGUAUGGUAGAGGGAAGUGGAAUUUCCGGUGUAGCGGUGAAAUGCGUAGAUAUCGGAAGGAACACCAGUGGCGAAGGCGACUUCCUGGGCCAAUACUGACACUGAGGUGCGAAAGCGUGGGGAGCAAACAGGAUUAGAUACCCCCGUAGUCC
rnacentral:rRNA from 1 species